rnacentral:rRNA from 1 species
UACAGAGACUGCAAGCGUUAUUCGGAUUCACUGGGCGUAAAGCGCGCGCAGGCGGCGGUGCUGGCCCGGCGUGAAAGCCCCCGGCUCAACCGGGGAGGGUCGUCGGGGACCGCACCGCUUGAGGGCGGUAGGGGCUGGUGGAAUGCCUGGUGUAGUGGUGAAAUGCGUAGAGAUCAGGCGGAACACCCGUGGCGAAGGCGGCCAGCUGGGCCGUCCCUGACGCUGAGGCGCGAAGGCGUGGGGAGCGAACGGG